rnacentral:rRNA from 1 species
AUUGAACGCUGGCGGCAUGCCUUACACAUGCAAGUCGAACGGCAGCACGGGAGCAAUCCUGGUGGCGAGUGGCGAACGGGUGAGUAAUAUAUCGGAACGUGCCCAGUCGUGGGGGAUAACGCAGCGAAAGCUGUGCUAAUACCGCAUACGAUCUACGGAUGAAAGCGGGGGAUCGCAAGACCUCGCGCGAUUGGAGCGGCCGAUAUCAGAUUAGCUAGUUGGUGGGGUAAAAGCCCACCAAGGCGACGAUCUGUAGCUGGUCUGAGAGGACGACCAGCCACACUGGAACUGAGACACGGUCCAGACUCCUACGGGAGGCAGCAGUGGGGAAUUUUGGACAAUGGACGCAAGUCUGAUCCAGCCAUGCCGCGUGCGGGAAGAAGGCCUUCGGGUUGUAAACCGCUUUUGUCAGGGAAGAAAUCUUCUGGGUUAAUACCUCGGGAGGAUGACGGUACCUGAAGAAUAAGCACCGGCUAACUACGUG